AAUGAACGCUGGCGGCGCGCCUAAUACAUGCAAGUCGAGCGAGAAGACGUAGCAAUACGUUUGUAAAGCGGCGAACGGGUGAGGAAUACAUGGGUAACCUACCCUAGAGUGGGGAAUAACUAGCCGAAAGGUUAGCUAAUACCGCGUACGCUCCUUGGACUUCGGUUCAGGGAGGAAAGCGAUGCCGAGGGUAUCGCGCUCUUGGAUGGGCUCAUGUCCUAUCAGCUUGUUGGGAGGUAACGGCUCACCAAGGCUUCGACGGGUAGCUGGUCUGAGAGGACGAUCAGCCACACUGGCACUGCGACACGGGCCAGACUCCUACGGGAGGCAGCAGUAAGGAAUAUUGCGCAAUGGGCGAAAGCCUGACGCAGCGACGCCGCGUGGGGGAUGAAGGUCUUCGGAUUGUAAACCCCUUUCGGGAGGGAAGAUGG
rnacentral:rRNA from 1 species